rnacentral:rRNA from 1 species
GACGAACCGUGCGAACGUUGUUCGGAUUCACUGGGCUUAAAGGGCGCGUAGGCGGGUCACCAAGUCGGGGGUGAAAGCGUUCGGCCCAACCGGACAAGGGCCUCCGAAACGGGUGGUCUGGAGGGAGGUAGGGGCAGGUGGAACUUCCGGUGGAGCGGUGAAAUGCGUAGAUAUCGGAAGGAACGCCGGUGGCGAAAGCGGCCUGCUGGACCUCUUCUGACGCUGAGGCGCGAAAGCCAGGGGAG